UACGAAGGGGGCUAGCGUUGCUCGGAAUUACUGGGCGUAAAGGGCGCGUAGGCGGCACAGUUAGUCAGGCGUGAAAUUCCUGGGCUCAACCUGGGGAUUGCGCUUGAAACGGCUGAGCUUGAGGACGGAAGAGGGUCGUGGAAUUCCCAGUGUAGAGGUGAAAUUCGUAGAUAUUGGGAAGAACACCGGUGGCGAAGGCGGCGACCUGGUCCGUUACUGACGCUGAGGCGCGACAGCGUGGGGAGCAAACAGG
rnacentral:rRNA from 1 species